rnacentral:rRNA from 1 species
UGGGGAAUAUUGCACAAUGGGCGCAAGCCUGAUGCAGCCAUGCCGCGUGUGUGAAGAAGGCCUUCGGGUUGUAAAGCACUUUCAGCGAGGAGGAAGGUGGUGAGCUUAAUACGCUCAUCAAUUGACGUUACUCGCAGAAGAAGCACCGGCUAACUCCGUGCCAGCAGCCGCGGUAAUACGGAGGGUGCAAGCGUUAAUCGGAAUUACUGGGCGUAAAGCGCACGCAGGCGGUUUGUUAAGUCAGAUGUGAAAUCCCCGGGCUCAACCUGGGAACUGCAUUUGAAACUGGCAAGCUAGAGUCUCGUAGAGGGGGGUAGAAUUCCAGGUGUAGCGGUGAAAUGCGUAGAGAUCUGGAGGAAUACCGGUGGCGAAGGCGGCCCCCUGGACGAAGACUGACGCUCAGGUGCGAAAGCGUGGGGAGCAAAACAGGAUUAGAUACCCUGGUAGUCCACGCUGUAAACGAUGUCGAUUUUGGAGGUUGUGCCCUUGAGGCGUGGCUUCCGGAGCUAACGCGUUAAAUCGACCGCCUGGGGAGUACGGCC